GCCAUAACCUUAUUUUUUACUUUUACCGAGACACCACAAUUCAUUUCUCACUGCCAUAACCUCUCCCUCUUCUCCGCCACUGCCACACCCUCCUUAGAGCCCCAAAAACUCUCCUCCAUGAAUGCCGCCCUCCAUACAAUUGUGACACUAGUUUCCUCGACCAACCCCACCACUUGAGAACUGUCUGCCACUAUCAAAACCAACAGCGAUGGCCGCCCGACAUCAGUAAUUUCAUCGCACUUACUGUUAGACUCAUGAAAUCUCCUAAAGCCAUCAAUUCAUUCUGCAAAAGUCGGUAGAUCUAUUUGAGGUUUCUUCGCUAGAAAUCGGUGGCGGAGGGAGAACAAGAGGAAAUUAUAAUUUUUUUGGGUUUCAUCCUUAAUCAUCUUUUUUAGCUUAUUAAUUUCUUGUUGAGUCCAUUAUUUUCUUUCAGUUAAAGCUUUGAAUCUAAAUUGGGGAUCUCUUUGAGGUUUCUUAUAUUAUAAUUCCUCCCCUUUGCUCUUGAUUUUGUAAAGAAAAUAGAAUAUUUCUUUUUCGUUUAUAUCCUUAAUGUUGUUUGUAAGUAGGAUGCACUGAUUAUGUUUUCUGUGUUGUUCAUAGUUAUAAUUUUGGCCCAAUUACAUGUCCCAGCUUAGGUUUUGCUUUGCCUCUCACAUUUGGUGGUUUACUAGAGCUACUAUAUCUAUGCUUGAGCAGGUUUGCAAUUGGCUUUAUCACCGACUAUGACCUUCUUGAAGGUAAAGCAAAUGAACGAGGGUAGAUGAAAGUUGUGAAGAUCUUACUCAAGAGUAUUGGUUGAUUUUUGAUAAGACUUUUAGAUGUUAUGGAAUCUUUUAUUUUAGAAACUUUUGACAACUUAUGUAUUAAUUUUUAAAUUGUAAUGACCCGACCGGUUGUUUUGAGCCCUA